rnacentral:rRNA from 1 species
UUAUUUAGUCAUAUAUCCUUUAUAUAUCUCAGAAUCUAACAAGUCAGACCUGGUUAGUAUUUUGAUGGGGGACCAUCAGGAAAUGCCAGGACUGGACUAU